rnacentral:rRNA from 1 species
CCUACGGGAGGCAGCAGUGGGGAAUAUUGCGCAAUGGGCGAAAGCCUGACGCAGCGACGCCGCGUGGGGGAUGAAGGCCUUCGGGUUGUAAACCCCUUUCAGCAGGGACGAAGCGAAAGUGACGGUACCUGCAGAAGAAGCGCCGGCUAACUACGUGCCAGCAGCCGCGGUAAUACGUAGGGCGCAAGCGUUGUCCGGAAUUAUUGGGCGUAAAGAGCUCGUAGGCGGUCUGUUGCGUCCGCUGUGAAAACCCAGGGCUUAGCCCUGGGCUUGCAGUGGAUACGGGCAGACUAGAGGCAGGUAGGGGAGAAUGGAAUUCCCGGUGUAGCGGUGAAAUGCGCAGAUAUCGGGAGGAACACCGGUGGCGAAGGCGGUUCUCUGGGCCUGACCUGACGCUGAGGAGCGAAAGCGUGGGGAGCGAACAGGAUUAGAUACCCUGGUAGUCCACGCCGUAAACGUUGAGCGCUAGGUGUGGGGUCCUUCCACGGAUUCCGUGCCGCAGCUAACGCAUUAAGCGCCCCGCCUGGGGAGUACGGCCGCAAGGCUAAAACUCAAAGGAAUUGACGG